ACGCUCGACACCUACGGGAGCAGCAGUGGGGAAUAUUGCACAAUGGGGGAAACCCUGAUGCAGCGACGCCGCGUGAGUGAAGAAGUAUUUCGGUAUGUAAAGCUCUAUCAGCAGGGAAGAAAAUGACGGUACCUGACUAAGAAGCCCCGGCUAACUACGUGCCAGCAGCCGCGGUAAUCUGAGCGGGCUGGCAAGGC
rnacentral:rRNA from 1 species